GGGGAAUUAGCUCAAGUGGUAGAGCGCUCGCUUUGCAUGUGAGAGUUAGCGGGAUUGAUCCCCACAUUCUCCA
rfam:Xiphophorus maculatus strain JP 163 A Contig1455.4, whole genome shotgun sequence.